GUUGACAGUUCGUGACAACACUUGAUCUGUGGUGACCAAACAAGAAUUAAAUCAUUAAUUAAAAUUUUAUUACAAAAUACAAAUUGCUAACCGUGGUCUGCGAGUUACCAAUUUUUACGCUAUUUUUUUACUAAAUAAUAAGUAUAAUGUAUUUUCAAUUAUUAAUUGUAAUAUUUUCUUUUCUAACAAUAAGUAAUGUUGAAGCUUCGCAAGGAUACGAUUUUGGUGACUUUCUAGCUACUAUAUUGGGAUUAGGCAUUGCUGUAAUCGGAAUUCUGGCCUGUUUGGGCAACUAUGCUAGACAAAGGGCACGAAACGAGUUUAUUUAAAGUUAAUGAUAUAUAUUUUCUCGGAAAAAUAUUAGAGGAUUCAUCAAAAAUGAUAUUCAGCCCACAAACAAGUAAAUUUAUGAAGAUUGUUGUAAUAAACAAUGUUUGUUAAAUUGCCUUACCAUUUUGCACCUAUAUGUGUAUAUAUUAUAUAUCUUUUUUUUACAAUAGCAACAAGCACAAGACUCAAAGCCCAUCAAGACUCACUAGGUGAUUUUACAAGCUGCUAGUGAACUCUCAGGUAAUAAACUAGGUCCUUGUCAUUAAAACUUAUCAUGUAAAUGGUAAAAAUGUAUUGAUCUGAAAUUAUAAUAUUUAAAUGGAAUUUAAGUAGCAGAUAUCUGCAAAAAUUUUAAAUUCCAAAUAGAAACCCUUUAUGUUAGUAAAUUAAAAUUAAUGACAGACUUAUGACAGCUAUUAAGUUUCAUUACC